UACGAAGGGGGCUAGCGUUGCUCGGAAUCACUGGGCGUAAAGGGCGCGUAGGCGGAUCUUUAAGUCGGGGGUGAAAGCCCAGGGCUCAACCCUGGAAUUGCCUUCGAUACUGGAGAUCUUGAGACCGGAAGAGGUAAGUGGAACUGCGAGUGUAGAGGUGAAAUUCGUAGAUAUUCGCAAGAACACCAGUGGCGAAGGCGGCUCACUGGCCCGGUACUGACGCUGAGGUGCGAAAGCGUGGGGAGCAAACAGG
rnacentral:rRNA from 1 species